GAGGUAACGGCUCACCAAGGCUUCGACGGGUAGCUGGUCUGAGAGGAUGAUCAGCCACACUGGGACUGAGACACGGCCCAGACUCCUACGGGAGGCAGCAGUGGGGAAUCUUGCGCAAUGGGCGAAAGCCUGACGCAGCAACGCCGCGUGCGGGAUGAAGGCCUUCGGGUUGUAAACCGCUUUUACCAGGAACGAAAAUGACGGUACCUGGAGAAUAAGGUGCGGCCAACUACGUGCCAGCAGCCGCGGUGACACGUAGGCACCAAGCGUUGUCCGGAUUUAUUGGGCGUAAAGAGCUCGUAGGCGGUUCAGUAAGUCGGGUGUGAAAACUCUGGGCUUAACCCAGAGACGCCACUCGAUACUACUGUGACUAGAGUUCGGUAGGGGAGCAGGGAAUUCCUGGUGUAGCGGUGAAAUGCGCAGAUAUCAGGAGGAACACCGAUGGCGAAGGCACUGCUCUGGGCCGAAACUGACGCUGAGGAGCGAAAGCGUGGGUAGCAAACAGGAUUAGAUACCCUGGUAGUCCACGCCGUAAACGGUGGGCACUAGGUGUGGGUUCCAACCAACGGAAUCCGCGCCGUCGCUAACGCAUUAAGUGCCCCGCCUGGGGAG
rnacentral:rRNA from 1 species